rnacentral:rRNA from 1 species
GAUGAACGCUGGCGGCGUGCCUAAUACAUGCAAGUCGAGCGAACGGACGAGAAGCUUGCUUUUCUGAUGUUAGCGGCGGACGGGUGAGUAACACGUGGAUAACCUACCUAUAAGACUGGGAUAACUUCGGGAAACCGGAGCUAAUACCGGAUAAUAUUUUGAACCGCAUGGUUCAAAAGUGAAAGACGGUCUUGCUGUCACUUAUAGAUGGAUCCGCGCUGCAUUAGCUAGUUGGUAAGGUAACGGCUUACCAAGGCAACGAUGCAUAGCCGACCUGAGAGGGUGUUCGGCCACACUGGAACUGAGACACGGUCCUGACUCCUACGGGAGGCAGCAGUAGGGAAUCUUCCGCAAAGGGCGAAAGCCUGACGGAGCAACGCCGCGUGAGUGAUGAAGGUCUUCGGAUCGUAAAACUCUGUUAUUAGGGAAGAACAUAUGUGUAAGUAACUGUGCACAUCUUGACGGUACCUAAUCAGAAAGCCACGGCUAACUACGUG